UCGUAACAAGGUUUCCGUAGGUGAACCAGCGG
rnacentral:rRNA from 2 species